GGUGAAGGCUUGACCUCAAAUCAGUAGGACUACCCGCUGA
rnacentral:rRNA from 1 species